rnacentral:lncRNA from 1 species
UCCCCAAUAAAUCUCUGCUGAUCUCAUCCUAACUUGGUGCCUGCUUCUGGGAGGAUUCAUACUAACACAGGUUUCAAGGUCAGACAGCAUUCAAAUCCCACUCCCACCACAGACCCUGAGCCAGUUCCUACCCCUUUCUCAGCCUCAGUUUCCUAGCAAUGAAAAUAAUAUUGAAACAGAAACUCUUUGAAAGCUCUUCCUGUCCUGAUCUGUUCCAGAAUCGGGCUCAGCAGGGUUUUUUAGAAUAUUUCUAUUACCCUGAAAACAUUUCUCUUGCCUGUUUGCAGUCAAUCUUUCAUUCCCACCCCCAGCCCUAGGCAACCACCAAUCUGCUUUCUGACUCUACAGAUGUGCCUUUUUCUGCACAUUCCCUCUUAGUGAAAUCAUAUACUGUGUGGCCUUUUGUGGUUGGCUUCUUUCACAUAGUGUAAUGCUUCUGAGGUUCAUCCAUGUUGUAAUGUCCAUUGUGGCUUCAUCCCUGUCUAUUGACAAAUAAAGUUCUGUUGCAUGGAUGGACCACAAACGUCUACAUAUCCAUUCUUCAGCUGGUGCACAUUUGGGUUGUUUCCAGUCUUGAGCUAUUAUGAAUAAUGUUGUUAUGAAAAUGUGUGUAUAAGUUUUUGUGUGAGAAUAUGUUUUCAUUUCUCUUGNGUAGAUCCCUAGGAGUGGAGUUGCUGGGUCACAUGAUGAGGGUAAGUUAUACAAGAAACUGCCAAACUUGUCUAUGUAAAUUGGUUGCCCACCAGCAGUAUAUGAGGGUUCCACUGCUCCACACAGUAGGGCUGAGAUUGGAGGCAAGUCCAGCCUGACCCCAGAACCCCAUUACCCAGCUCUUUGGUGAUCUUUUCUUUCUAACACUGGGAUACCCAGCUAAGGAAUGAAGUUCAUGGCUGUGCAGGAAUGAGGGCUGUCUGUGAAAACAAGAAGUGCUCCUGCACCAGCCCAGACAAAGACCCCCCGCUUAUCUCCAUCGAUUUCUUGUCCUCCAAG